ACAAAGGUGACGGAUAGAUGAAGUGGUUCUGGAAAGACCCGCCAAAGAAGGUAACAGCCCUGUAAUCGAAAUCGGUCACCCUCCGAGACGGAUCCUGAGUACCGCGGGACACGUGAAACCCCGUGGGAAGCAGGGAGGACCACCUCCCAAGGCUAAAUACUCCCUGGCGACCGAUAGUGAACCAGUACCGUGAGGGAAAGGUGAAAAGCACCCCGGGAGGGGAGUGAAAGAGAACCUGAAACCGUGUGCUUACAAUCAGUCGGAGUCCUUUUAAAGGGAUGACGGCGUGCCUUUUGUAGAAUGAACCGGCGAGUGACGGUUACGUGCGAGGUUAAGGUGAGAAGCCGGAGCCGCAGCGAAAGCGAGUCUGAACAGGGCGAAUGAGUACGUGGCCGUCGACCCGAAACCGGGUGAUCUACCCAUGUCCAGGGUGAAGUUCCGGUAACACGGAAUGGAGGCCCGAACCUGUUGGUGUUGAAAAACCAUAGGAUGAGGUGUGGGUAGGGGUGAAAUGCCAAUCGAACCCGGAGAUAGCUGGUUCUCCCCGAAAUAGCUUUAGGGCUAGCCUCGGAGAGGAGUCGUGGAGGUAGAGCACUGAUUGGGCUAGGGGCCCCCACAGGGUUACCGAACUCAGUUAAACUCCGAAUGCCACAGACU
rnacentral:rRNA from 1 species